rnacentral:rRNA from 1 species
AUGAACGCUGGCGGCGUGCCUAAUACAUGCAAGUCGAGCGAACAGACGAGGAGCUUGCUCCUCUGACGUUAGCGGCGGACGGGUGAGUAACACGUGGAUAACCUACCUAUAAGACUGGGAUAACUUCGGGAAACCGGAGCUAAUACCGGAUAAUAUAUUGAACCGCAUGGUUCAAUAGUGAAAGACGGUUUUGCUGUCACUUAUAGAUGGAUCCGCGCCGCAUUAGCUAGUUGGUAAGGUAACGGCUUACCAAGGCAACGAUGCGUAGCCGACCUGAGAGGGUGAUCGGCCACACUGGAACUGAGACACGGUCCAGACUCCUACGGGAGGCAGCAGUAGGGAAUCUUCCGCAAUGGGCGAAAGCCUGACGGAGCAACGCCGCGUGAGUGAUGAAGGUCUUCGGAUCGUAAAACUCUGUUAUUAGGGAAGAACAAAUGUGUAAGUAACUAUGCACGUCUUGACGGUACCUAAACAGAAAGCCACGGCUAACUACGUG